rnacentral:rRNA from 1 species
GCGGAGGAAAAGAAACUAACUAGGAUUCCCUUAGUAACGGCGAGUGAACCGGGAUGAGCUCAAAUUUGAAAUCUGGCGUCUUUCAGGCGUCCGAGUUGUAAUCUAUAGAGGCGUUUUCCGCGCCGGACCGCGUCCAAGUCUCUUGGAAUAGAGUAUCAAAGAGGGUGACAAUCCCGUACUUGACGCGACAACCGGUGCUCUGUGAUACGUUCUCAAUGAGUCGAGUUGUUUGGGAAUGCAGCUCUAAAUGGGUGGUAAAUUCCAUCUAAGGCUAAAUAUUGGCGAGAGACCGAUAGCGAACAAGUACCGUGAGGGAAAGAUGAAAAGCACUUUGGAAAGAGAGUUAAACAGCACGUGAAAUUGUUAAAAGGGAAACGAUUGAAGUCAGUCGUGUGGGAAGUAUUCAGCCGUCUCUGGCGGUGUAUUUGCUUCUCACGGGUCAACAUCAGUUUGAUCCGGUAGAAAAAGGCGGGAAGAAGGUGGCACCCUCGGGUGUGUUAUAGCUUCCUGUCAUAUGUGCCGGACCAGACUGAGGAA